rnacentral:rRNA from 1 species
UACGUAGGGUGCAAGCGUUGUCCGGAAUUAUUGGGCGUAAAGAGCGUGUAGGCGGCCCGAUUAGUCCGCUGUGAAAGUCCAGGGCUCAACCCUGGAAUGCCGGUGGAUACUGUCGGGCUAGAGUCCGGAAGGGGCGAGUGGAAUUCCUGGUGUAGCGGUGAAAUGCGCAGAUAUCAGGAGGAACACCCGUGGCGAAAGCGGCUCACUGGACCACAACUGACGCUGAGGCGCGAAAGCUAGGGGAGCAAACAGG